AAAGCAUACCCCUGUAAAAAGGCUAGACACCAGUAAGAAGUGCUGCAUAGGGCAUCAGCCAUGGAAAUGGUACUGUUGUGGACCCUGUUAUGGAUAUCAGGAUACUAUCAAAGACUUUCAGCUGAGAUGUUGGUACAGUACAAAUACUUCCUUUCUGGGGAGGGACAGGGGGUCUCUCUACAAGCCCCUGCUGAGACCAACGGGACAGAAUUCAUCUGGGAGUGGACGUCACAUGAUGGAAGCUACGCAAACGCUCGGAUAAUAACUAUACCUUCCGAUGGGAAGGUUAAAUGGAAUUUGUCUAUUACAAGACAAGGGAAGUAUGACAUUGUUCUGCAACCAAAGUUACAAGAUGCAGGGGUUUUUACUUUAAUUCAAACUAAACCAGAAAAAGUAAAAGUGUCCCAGUUUGAAGUGUUCGCUGUAAAAGUGAAACCAUCUCGCUGGUCCAGUGUAAAAGAAGGUUCUGAUGUGAUCAGGAGCUGUGAAGUAUCACACCUUCCAGAUUCAGCUACACUGGACUGGGAAAGGGACAGAGAACCUACUGCUAACACAACGCUGAUCUACAACAACACUGCCCACAUCAUCAUCCACAGUGCUGACCGAUACAGUGAGGGAACGUAUAACUGCACACUCAGAUGGAACGGAGCACUUAUUUUCAGCAUUCCCAGGACACUUCAAGUCUACAAGGGUACAUAUGACACACAUCACACUCUGUACAGAGGGAGUUUGAGCAGCAGUGAGGUGGUGCUAAUCUGCCGUUCUCCAGCCUCAUACGGAACAGCGUAUUGGCAAUGGGAGCCAUCGUCUAAGACAAAUGCAAUCAUUGUGGCCUCAGCUGAUAUAUAUGAGAAUGCUUCGAUUUCCAUGGAGAUAGAUAAAGAGAGAUUCUCAUCUGAGCGCUAUGAUGGAUAUAAUUUCCCUCUGAGAAUCUCACCAGUGAAGUUUGGAGACAGUGGAAGGUACUUCUGUUAUUUUGAACACUGGCUGAUGGCCACAGUAACGCUGGUAACUGUUCAGGUCUCAGCAGUGUCCCCUGGUGGCCUGUCCAGGAAUCAGUCAGUUGUGCUGAACUGUGAGAUAUCACAGGUGAUCGGCUCUGUGACCCUGGCCUGGCUCCGGAUGAAGGGGGGCAGGGGGGAGCUCGUAAAACAGGAGGUCCUGAGUGAGGGGCACCCAAAAAAGAUGCUCAGUCUCACCCUUCCCAUUCUGAGUAGAGACCAGCUGCACUGGGCCUGUGCGGUGUUCACAGAGAGCAUGCUCAGAGCACAGGUCCCCCUGCGCCUCACACUGCCAGCACCCAUCACUGAGCCUGAAGAGCCAAAGCCAGUGUUGGUACAGUACAAAUACUUCCUUUCUGGGGAGGGACAGGGGGUCUCUCUACAAGCCCCUGCUGAGACCAGCGGGACAGAAUUCAUCUGGGAGUGGACGUCACAUGAUGGAAGCUACACAAACGCUCGGAUAAUAACUAUACAGUCCGAUGGGAAGUUUUCAUGGAAUUUGUCGAAGGUGUCUAUUUCAAAACAAGGGAAGUACGACAUUUAUCUGGAACCGGAGUUACAAAAUGCAGGAGUUUUUACUUUCAUUCAAACUAAACCAGAGAAAGUAAAAGUGGCCCAGUUUGAAGUGUUCGCUGUAAAAGUGAAACCAUCCCAUUGGUCCAAAGUAAAAGAAGGUUAUGAUGUGAUCAGGAGCUGUGAAGUAUCGCACCUUCCAGAUUCAGCUACACUGGACUGGGAAAGGGACACAGAACCUACUGCUAACACAACGCUGAUCUACAACAACACUGCCCACAUCAUCAUCCACAGUGCUGAUGGAUACAGUGAGGGAACGUAUUACUGCACACUCAGAUGGAACAGAGCACUUAUUUUCAGCAUUCCCAGGACACUUCAAGUCUACAAGGGUACAUUUGAAACACAUCACACUCUGUACAGAGGGAGUUUGAGCAGCAGUGAGGUGGUGCUAAUCUGCCGUUCUCAGAACUCAUACGGAACAGCGUAUUGGCGAUGGGAACCAUCGUCUGAGACAAAUGAACUCAUUGUGGCCUCAGCUGAUAACAAUACUUUGAUUUCCAUGGAGAUAGAUAAAGAGAGAUUCUCAUCUGAGCACUAUGAUGGAUACUAUUUCCCUCUGAGAAUCUCACCAGUGAAGUUUGGAGACAGUGGAAGGUACUUCUGUUACAGUGAACGCUACCAGACGGCCUCAGUAACUCUGGUAACUGUUCAGGUCUCAGCAGUGCCCCCUGGUGGCCUGUCCAGGAAUCAGUCCGUUGUGCUGAACUGUGAGAUAUCACAGGUGAUCGGCUCUGUGACCCUGGCCUGGCUCCGGAUGAAGGGGGGCAGGGGGGAGCUCGUAAAACAGGAGGUCCUGAGUGAGGGGCACCCAGAAAAGAUGCUCAGUCUCACCCUGCCCAUUCUGAGUAGAGACCAGCUGCACUGGGCCUGUGCGGUGUUCACACAGAGCAUGCUCAGAGCACAGGUCCCCCUCACACUGCCAACACCCAUCACUGAGCCUGAAGAGCCAAAGCCAGGAUGGAGCACUGAGACAGUGGUCAGGGUGGUGAUUGUAGUGCUGGCCACCCUGGGGAUGCUAAAGGUUCUUGUGUGGUACUGCAGGAGACGCCCAGCAAGUGAGCUUGACAACCGAGAGUCAGCACAGCCUGAGGAGUGAUUAUAUCAGCAAAGCCCUAGAGGACCAAUGCAAUGGAGAGCUUCCCUCCUACACUAUCAUUAACAAAAGGGUUUCAGCCUACAGCUGACUGGCUGAUCAACAGGAACCAUCAGAACUGUCGUCUCUCCUGAUUGAUGUGUGUUGCUCUACCAACGCAAAAAGUAUUUUUGCAUGUGCAACAUCCUUUUCUGUCUUCCUACUCAAGGAUUCUCAGAUUACGUUGUUAUUUUUCUAAAACUUACUUUUCUACUGCUUCAAAUGGAUCUCACAGAUGUCUAUUGUUAAUUAUUCCUUUUUUUUGGAUUUAGCAACAUCUGUGGUGACUGGUGGUCAGAAAUGUUUGUUUUCACGCACCAAAUGCCAUAGUUCAAAUCUAACUGAAGAUACUUCUAGGAGCACACUGUGUGCGUAUUUUUCUUAAAAGAUUAAUCCAGCGGUUGCGUAUUUUGGAGAAAGAUAGAGACUAGAGACACUCCACCAUGUUGUCUGACACAGUAAUAUUGAGCCACAUAUCAAACUUAAAUUUAACGAUGCUUUUUGGAGUUUUGGUCAAGUUCAUGUUCCUUUGCGUGUGUCAACACAUCUAAAUACUUGGCAGGACUGUCGCACCCGACAGCAUAUGGCAUAUAAAAGUGCAAUUAAGGAUUUAAUUGCUGUAUAUUAUUUACAUCUCCCGCUCUUGAAAAAUGGCAAAAAAAAUUUUAUUUUAAAAUGUUAUUUUA